rnacentral:rRNA from 1 species
GAGUUUGAUCCUGGCUCCCAUGAACGCUGGCGGCAUGCCUAACACAUGCAAGUCGAACGGUAACAGGACGCUGUGAUCCCUUCGGGGUGAACUUGUCGCUGACGAGUGGCGGACGGGUGAGUAAUACUUAGGAAUCUGCCCAGUAGUGGGGGACAACCAGGAGAAAUUCUGGCUAAUACCGCAUACGCACUACGGUGGAAAGCGGGGGACUCUUCGGAGCCUCGCGCUAUUGGAUGAGCCUAAGUCGGAUUAGCUUGUUGGUGAGGUAAUUGCUCACCAAGGCGACGAUCCGUAGCUGGUCUGAGAGGACGAUCAGCCACACUGGGACUGAGACACGGCCCAGACUCCUACGGGAGGCAGCAGUGGGAGAUAUUGGACAAUGGGCGCAAGCCUGAUCCAGCAAUGCCGCGUGUGUGAAGAAGGCCUGCGGGUUGUAA